CGCCGCAUUGCGGCACAUCGGUUUUUGAAACGAUACAGAGAAGAUUAGGUAUUUAUCUCUCCAAGCCUCCCUGUUCGAAUCUCACAAGCAUCAGUAACUAACUUGAGAAUUUUCAGCAUUGCCCCUGCAUUAAGGAUGACACGCUCUUCAAAGAGAAGCUGAUUUUUUUU
rnacentral:snRNA from 1 species